GAGUUUGAUCCUGGCUCAGAUUGAACGCUAGCGGGAUGCCUUACACAUGCAAGUCGAACGGCAGCACGGACUCCGGUCUGGUGGCGAGUGGCGAACGGGUGAGUAAUGUAUCGGAACGUGCCUAGUAGCGGGGGGAUAACUACGCGAAAGCGUAGCUAAUACCGCAUACGCCCUACGGGGAAAGCAGGGGAUCGCAAGACCUUGCACUAUUAGAGCGGCCGAUAUCGGAUUAGCUAGUUGGUGGGGUAACGGCUCACCAAGGCGACGAUCCGUAGCUGGUUUGAGAGGACGACCAGCCACACUGGGACUGAGACACGGCCCAGACUCCUACGGGAGGCAGCAGUGGGGAAUUUUGGACAAUGGGGAAACCCGUGAUCCAGCCAUCCCGCGUGUGCGAUGAAGGCC
rnacentral:rRNA from 1 species